ensembl:lncRNA
CGUGUAUCUCUGUGGGGCGGGUGUGGAGUUCCGACCAGCGGCACCGUCCUCCCGCGAGGGAAACGGCCGGAGAGGAACGAAGCGAAGCGAAUGACAGCAAUGAUCGUUUGUUUGUUUGUUCUCAUGUGUCAUUGUAAUCGCACGGGAAGAAUUGCUAUGCGCAGGCGCAUGGGAUGCUACUAGAUACAGUGCUCAGGCGGGAGUAGGAAUAAGGAGUCGCACUUGUAGAAGAUAAGACGAGUAAAUGAGAUUCUGGGAUUGGGAUGAAGAAAGGGAGCAACGAUCGGAGCAUUUGCAUUUGUUUAAGAGGUGUGUGUGUCUCCCUGGGGGGAGGUGUAAGGAGUUACUGGAGCCUUUGAAUACGUGUACCUCCUCCUCUCUCAGUGCAGAUCUUUUAAUGUGUUGAGAAACGAGGGACAAUAUUGUCUCUACGGAAAGUGAAGAUGUCUUGUUUGACCUCUUAGAAAAACACGGUGCUCGGCCCUCUUUAUCAGGGAUGGGCUGGGCACGACAAAACUGGCACAACUUGCAGAGUGUUUCUGAUACAAAAUGAGGUUCGUACCCGAGUUGGAAAAGGAAAAUCGUUUAUCUGUGCAGUACUCGGUGCAGCCGUGGAGUGACAAGCGUUGCAGGAAUCAGUUAAAGUAACACAAAAAUCGGUUGAGAAGAGAAGAGAAAAGAGAAAAGAAAAGGAAAGAAAAGACAAGACCCUCUGGUAAAAUAUUGUAAUCAGUGGUGGUUACUGUACAAGUUAAAAGGAGCAUUCUUUUGUGGUGAGAAAAACAUAGGUGCCAGACUCCUUGUCGGCAAGACAACGAGGAAGAGUGUUUACUUCAUCCCAAGGGACCAGAUGGGGAUGCGACCAUCCAGAGGAGAAUACAAUGCGUGUGCCGGAGGGGAGGGACUUGAUUAAUGAAUACGUAGUGGGGUUCAACGUAAUGUAUGAACUUGACUUACAAAUAUGUAACAUUUCUGUGGACUGGUAUGCAAGUUAGGAGGAGCUAUCCCCCUUGCAUCCAGCUUUGCGCAGCGUUGAUUAAAACAUACCUGAUUCUAU